UACGUAGGGGGCAAGCGUUGUCCGGAAUCAUUGGGCGUAAAGAGCGUGUAGGCGGCUCGGUAAGUCCGCUGUGAAAGUCCAGGGCUCAACCCUGGAAUGCCGGUGGAAACUGUCGAGCUAGAGUCCGGAAGAGGCGAGUGGAAUUCCUGGUGUAGCGGUGAAAUGCGCAGAUAUCAGGAGGAACACCAAUGGCGAAGGCAGCUCGCUGGGACGGUACUGACGCUGAGGCGCGAAAGCUAGGGGAGCAAACAGG
rnacentral:rRNA from 1 species